GCCUGGGUGGCUCAGUUGGUUAAGCGUCUGACUUCCACUCAGGUCAUGAUCUCCCGUUCCUGGGUUUGAGCCCCGCAUCAGGCU
rnacentral:tRNA from 1 species